GUGCUUGCUUCAGCAGCACAUAUAGUAAAAUUGGAACAAUACAGAGAAGAGUAGCAUGGCCUCUCCACAAGGAUACAUGUGAAUUCAUCAAGCAUUCUCAUCUGGG
ensembl:snRNA U6 U6 spliceosomal RNA